CAUAUCAUCCACAGACUAAUGGGCUUGUGGAAAAACUAAAUGGUACCAUUCAGAGGUGAACCUUUAUUAACAGUUGGCUUUAUAAUAUUGGUUGUUUCUCCAAUUGGUUCUACUAAUAACUUUCAACUCCUUUUGGUUCUGACUCUAGAGCCUUGUGUAAACUUGUGGGUUCACAAUCAGAAAAAUGGGAUGAGUACCUAGAUGCAGUAAUGUUUGGUCUAAGAACCAAGACUCAGCUGACAACUAGGUACUCCCCAUUUUUCUUAAUGUUUGGCAUGGAGGCACGAUAUCCUUGUGAGGUGCCUGAGACAUUUGAGAUCAACAGCACAGUGGAGUCUGUCAUCGCAGAAAACACUGUGUCCGAGGCCAUUUCUCUCAAGGAGAAAAUGGACCACAUUGUUAAAGAGAAUGUGGGCAAAAAACAGGAGCGACGACACCGGGUGGCAACUCAGGCACCGUUCUCUGUAGGCCAAAAGGUCCUACGGAAAAACAUAAGGACCCAGCAGAGGAAGGGGGGAAAGCUUGAGCGCAGCUGGUUGGGGCCAUAUGAAAUCGUAUUCCUCAAAGAAAAGAGUGCGGAUCUGAGGGAUGAGAAGGGUCACACAUACCCCAAAAUUAAUACAGACCACUUAAAAUUAUUUAAAGAGGAAACACCCCGGGUACCCCACAGACUUCUUCUAGAUGAACCCCAACUUAAAAGACCACAUCAAGAAACUUCACCUUCUCCUGUAGACAUCAUCACUAAAGAAGAGCAACCCCCACCAUCACCUCCAUCCUCCCCAACUGCACCAAAGCCUUCUCCCUGUGACUCCCCCAAAUCCUCCACUUCCCUGUCUCCACUGGAUUUAUCAGCGCCACUUUCCUCUCCUGUGUCCCACCCCACUACACUGCCAACGGUUAUACCAGCUGAUGCCAAGGAUGCAGUGCAUAGCUAUAUCAAAAGUGCCUGGGCUGGGAAUGACAGUGUAGUACUGCUGUCCAAAGUGGGACCCCAUAAGUUAUUCUACCAAGACAUUUUACAGGUCGGCCCUGGAAAGGAGUUGGAGAGUGAGGUAAUCAAUGCAUACCUGAUGCUAAAAGUAAGGCACCACAAUUUGACCUCACCAGAGAAGGCCUUCCAUAUGGACACAUUUGCUAUAACCGCAAUGUGGAAUGGAAAAUAUCAGGGCCUCAAGGUGAACCCAGCAAACUAUGAUGUCAUAGUGGGCAUUGUCAAUGAGUGCCACCAUUGGUUUUUAGUUGUAAGUGUUUGUGAUCGAGAACCGUUUCCUUUUGCGCUUUCCCUUAUCCCUUUGAAAUGUGCAUUCUUUUUAUUUAUUGCAUAUUACCUAGGCUAUAUACCCAUCCCAAAAAAAACCAUUCUACUUGACCCACUUGGGGAGUCUGACAUCAAGAAGAAAAGGUGUUUGGAAACAACAAGGUAUUUAAUUCACCAGAAUUUCAUGUGUUUUUGGGAAGGUGUAUUUGAUUGAAUGACAGAGAAAAAACUUGUAGAGCAUUCAUGAGACAAAAGGGAAUUCCAGUUUCACGCUGGGUGUGCGAAAGUCCUCCUCACCCACUUCAAAUGGAUUCUACAUCAUGUGGUGUGUUCGCUUUGAAGUUUGCAGAGCAUAUUUUGCAAAAUACCAACAUUGACUUCUCCAAUGCGCCACAAGACGUAGCACAAUUCAGAAUGGAGAUUGCAUCAACACUGCUUGAACAAUCUGAUGACCUAAGUGACCUGUGUCACUUUUGUGGGGAGGCAGAAACAUUUGAUGACUCUGCAGAAGUUCUCUGGGUAGUUUAUUAUUAUUAUUAUUAUUAUUAUUAUUAUUAUUAUUUAAUUUAUGUAUUUAUUUAGUAGUUGUUGUUAAUGUAUUAAAUUGGUGUGGAAUAUAAAUGAAUAGACUAGAACAUUUGCUGACAACUUUUUGUUUUUUUUUUUUUUUUUUUUUUUACAGAUUUCCUGUGAUUACUGUGGGCGAUGGUUCCAUAUGGAUUGUGUUAAUAAUCCAUCCACAGAAAAACAAUACAAAUGCUUUUCCUGCAAUAAAUCAAAUUGAAUUUUGAAGUCAUUGUUUUUGUAGUCUUUCUUUUUCUUUCUUU